CGUUGGCUUCCUUGGAGCUGUGUGCGUCUGGACUGAGCGCCUGGACAGAGUCGGCUCUCAUUUUCUCUUGCCGUUGCUGCUGCUUGCCAUUCCAGCUAGGUGCCAUCCAGAUCCUCCAAGCUCAUUGCUGUUUUCAGUAAAUUCUUCUUAUCUCAACCAUGAUCUUCACCUUUUGGGCUUCCAGUUCUUCUCUCCAGCCAUGCUGCAGGAGUGAUGGGGUUGUAGAAGGGAGAGCAAGUGAGCAGCAUGGGGUUUGGAGUCUCAGUGAGAGCACUGAAUUUGGAAGUACCACUCUUAAACUGUGGCGGCGGUCUUGAAAUAAAAUAAAAAGUGGUGGA